GAUGAACGCUAGCGGCAGGCUUAACACAUGCAAGUCGAGGGGUAGAGUUAGCUUGCUAACUUGAGACCGGCGCACGGGUGCGUAACGCGUAUGCAAUCUACCUUGUACAGAGGGAUAGCCCAGAGAAAUUUGGAUUAAUACCUCAUAGUAUCUUCGGAAGGCAUCUUCUGAUUAUUAAAGUUCCAACGGUACAAGAUGAGCAUGCGUCCCAUUAGCUAGAUGGUAAGGUAACGGCUUACCAUGGCAACGAUGGGUAGGGGUCCUGAGAGGGCGAUCGCCCACACUGGUACUGAGACACGGACCAGACUCCUACGGGAGGCAGCAGUGAGGAAUAUUGGUCAAUGGGCGCAAGCCUGAACCAGCCAUGCCGCGUGCAGGAAGACGGUCCUAUGGAUUGUAAACUGCUUUUAUACGGGAAGAAACACUGCUACGUGUAGCAGCUUGACGGUACCGUAAGAAUAGGCAUCGGCUAACUCCGUGCCAGCCGCCGCCGUAAGAC
rnacentral:rRNA from 1 species